UCAACAGCCCUGGAGAGUGAAAGGCUCUAUCUACAGAACAGGGACAGCCUGGGCAGAGUCAGGGUAAGCGUCCCCUCCCUUGUCACCCACUACCUACCAAUGUACCCUGGUGGGUCCCACCUCUUGGAGAUAAGAGGGGAGUUCAGUCACCAGGGACCAUUCAGUCCUUGGCCUCU
rnacentral:sRNA from 1 species